GAGCGUAUCAAGGUCAUUUUGAACACCUCGCCCGUUUAGCAACCUCUGCUGCUGACUGUACUGAUAUACCUACACUCAAUUCAAAAAUACCGCAAUGUAAUGAAACUCGCAUGCGAGCCCUUGCAACCACUAGAUGAGCCUUUAGUUACAUGAUUUUUGAACUUUGCAAUAACAUUUCCUUAGUUUAAUUGUUUCAUAAUCAUUGUGCAUAAUGAGCUGAACCGAAGUCAAACACUUACGUUACAUGAUUACAUGAAUAAUCAAUUGAAAUCCAAUAAUAAACGAUAUCAUCUAGAAUCUUACAUCAACUGGAAUAAAAGUCAUAUAACUUUCAACAGGGUUUCACUGCCAUCGAUAUUAUCAUGAGACAAAUAACGGUAUUGCAGUGUAAACUUUAUAUACACUCAAGGAACGGACGUUUUUGGUUAAAGUAAAGCAACUAUAGCCAACAAAUGUCGACGUUAUAGGGAGUGAAUCGUUAUAUCGAGUGACGUUAUAUGGAGUUUACACUGCAUUUAUAAACCGAGCCUAUCAGUACUUGCUAAUCGAAGGAUGGUUGACGUACAAAGUACAGAUAUAUAUUUUUUUAAGCUGCGCGCUCCUCCAAGGCAACUGCGCUCACAUCGAAAACGCAACGCAUACAAACACCGAAAAAAUGUUUGUCGUAUUUGUGGUACAUACUUAUAUAGUGCAUAAUUGUUUUCCAUCGUAUUUUCUCGGAAACGUUCGUAUUUGUCAUGCGACUUCAGUCGACCUCAGUAGGUACUCUUUGUACCGAGACUGACUGAAAUAGCAGGACACGUUCGUACGUUUCCGUGAAAAUACGAUGGAAAAUUGGGAAAUAAUUAUGCACUACAUCUGUAUGUUGCGUCAUGUUGCGUCUAUAUGAUUCGAUGUGGGUGUAGGUGCUUUGUGCAGGCACUUUUUUUAAAAAUCGUUUAUAGAGAUAAUCCACGAAUAGAGAUUCGUACUCGUACAUCUCAUUUUAAAAUCUAAGGAGUCAGUUAAAUCGUGAAAAAUACCUAUUGUAGAUUUCAAGAGUUUUACAGUUUUAAAAGUAGUUAGUUGUUGGCCAGGUGUUUGAAAUGUUAUAGAUCAGUUUUUUUUGGGUAUUUAACAAGUUUAAAUAUUUCAACAAAAUCAAAACAGCAGGUGGGUUGAGGUGUAUUUUAAAAUUUAGGUAAGUCGUGUAUGUUUGAGCUCGCCUCGUCGCAACGAAUUGAUUUGACACUUUAGAUAUUUUCCGAGCCAGGCUUGCGAAAAUAAUCAAGAAAUGCAGAAUAAAUUGUCAUCGGUCUGAAUGAAAAACACUCGACAGAUAAAUACAGGUAGGGUCGUUAAAACAAAACUGUAACUUCAUGGUAAGCCCAUUUCGCACGCACACCUUACUCACUUGUCGGGUUUGCGAGAUUCACCGCUCGCCCUUGGGUUGUGAAUGUAUGCGUGUCGCGCUUAAACACGAAAAAAUGGCGUGUUAGGAAAUCAGUUUUUUUUAGUGGCCAUACUUCUGCCUAUCUUUUUCACAAAAUAUCAAAUUACAUUUGAGCAAGGGCUACCUGACCCUAGAGACGCGUAUAAUCUAACUAUCUGCAACAAACGAUACUAAACUUAUUAACAAUUACGCUGCUAUAUGCUGGAUAACGAAGAUAAUUUUGCUUGUUAUACUCUAUACCCUUUAGAAAAUUAUAAAACUAAGUUGACUUUUACCGGAAUCUUCCAUACCAAUACCUGUGUAAGUAAGUAGUGCCCAUUACUAAACUUUAUUUCUGUGUCAUAAAACUUGUAAUUGAUCACUAUAAAACUAAGUAGGAUAACAUUUGAUAUGGUAGUUUUCUCCGGUACCUAAAGGUGCAAAAAAGCGCCUACUUGAGCAAAAUCGAAGUGAAGUGAAAGCGGCUCAAAUUCUAUUUAAAUUGAGCUAAGAGCCAGUCCUGGACACAAUAACGAACCAUUGCAAGGUUUUAUCUGAGCUUGAAAAGGAAAACAUAGAUAUUUAUCAAACAUAGAUUAUAUCAACAGAGUCAUUCCAAAUAAACUUUUUAAGUAAGUUGGUUAGCCAAUGGUCAACCAACCAGUUAAUUAGAUCAACAAAAAAGUUAUUUAUGCCCCUAAUAAGAUAAAGCGGCAUUAAAUAUAUCGAUUGAUCAAAUGUACCUACGUAAUUUUAGGCAUUUCUCUACAUUCAUAUAUACUCAUUGCAUGUCUUUAAGUAGAAACUAAAAUAAGUGAAAAUUUGCAAACUCAGAUCAAACCGUACUACGGAACAAAAGAGCGUGAAGUAAGGCUAACAUUCUGGAGAAAAGCUGCGGUGCAUCGUCCACACUGUCAACUGACAAUACGUGAACCUUGUCACCAAGACAUAAGGACCACAAAUGGUCAGUUGUUGCUAUUAUAGUAGCCACAAACCAAACUAAGGAAUGAGCUCAUAUCAAUCACUGUCUCUCUCACUCUUGCCACGAUUAGGCAAGUGUGA